UACGUAGGGUGCGAGCGUUAAUCGGAAUUACUGGGCGUAAAGCGUGCGCAGGCGGUUUUGUAAGCCAGAUGUGAAAUCCCCGGGCUCAACCUGGGAACUGCAUUUGGGACUGCAAGGCUAGAGUACGGCAGAGGGGGGUAGAAUUCCUGGUGUAGCAGUGAAAUGCGUAGAUAUCCGGAGGAACACCGAAGGCGAAGGCAGUGUCCUGGCGCGUAACUGACGCUGAGGUGCGAAAGCCAGGGGAGCGAACGGG
rnacentral:rRNA from 1 species